rnacentral:rRNA from 1 species
UACGGAGGGUGCGAGCGUUAUCCGGAUUUACUGGGUUUAAAGGGCGCGUAGGCGGGAUGGCAAGUCGGUCGUGAAAUCCCUCGGCUCAACCGAGGAACGUCGAUCGAUACUGCUGUUCUUGAGGAUUGCAGAGGAGACUGGAAUUCCCGGUGUAGCGGUGAAAUGUGUAGAGAUCGGGAGGAACACCGGUGGCGAAGGCGGGUCUCUGGGCAAUUCCUGACGCUGAGGCGCGAAAGCGUGGGGAGCAAACGGG